UAAAAGCACAAAGGACAGUGCUGAGAACUGGCUGGAUCACACUGUCAGCCAAGAAAAGGAAGGACGAAUGAGGCUGAAGAGACUGCAGGGCUGCAGAUGAAAUAUCCAGACCUAUGCAUCCUCAUGUGGAUGAGUGGGUUCCGGCAAAAUUUAAGAGGCUAAUGAUGGGAUGGAGGGGUUGGCAGCAGCACAGCAUAGUAGAAUUUUCUGAUUCACUACCACUGCUGGUGUUACAGCGUGAACGUGACCUGAAGACAAAAAGUCUCUGCCUUUCUAGACAAAAGCAAUGCUCAAAU
rnacentral:lncRNA from 1 species